GGGUUAAAAGGAAAGAAAGUGAGUUCACAUUCCUCUUGCCAAGGAUGAAAGAGGUCCUGCACAACACAUGUAAGGUUGAGACACUGCUGCUCACUUCAUAGCAUCAAACCAGGGUUGUUU